rnacentral:rRNA from 1 species
UACAGAGGUCUCAAGCGUUGUUCGGAUUCAUUGGGCGUAAAGGGUGCGUAGGCGGUGUGGCAAGUCGGGAGUGAAAUCUCUGGGCUCAACUCAGAGACUGCUUCCGAAACUGCUGUGCUGGAGUGUGGGAGAGGCGCGUGGAAUUGCAGGUGUAGCGGUGAAAUGCGUAGAUAUCUGGAGGAACACCGGUGGCGAAGGCGGCAUCCUGACCGACACUGACGCUGAGACACGAAAGGCCAGGGAGCGAACGGG